CGGGGGUACACGAGUGGCGAACGGGUGAGUAACACGUGGGUAAUCUGCCCUGCACUUCGGGAUAAGCCUGGGAAACUGGGUCUAAUACCGGAUAUGAGCUCUGGCCGCAUGGUCUGGGGUUGGAAAGUUUUUCGGUGCAGGAUGAGCCCGCGGCCUAUCAGCUUGUUGGUGGGGUAAUGGCCUACCAAGGCGACGACGGGUAGCCGGCCUGAGAGGGUGAUCGGCCACACUGGGACUGAGACACGGCCCAGACUCCUACGGGAGGCAGCAGUGGGGAAUAUUGCACAAUGGGCGGAAGCCUGAUGCAGCGACGCCGCGUGGGGGAUGACGGUCUUCGGAUUGUAAACCCCUUUCAGUAGGGACGAAGCGCAAGUGACGGUACCUGCAGAAGAAGCACCGGCCAACUACGUGCCAGCAGCCGCGGUAAUACGUAGGGUGCGAGCGUUGUCCGGAAUUACUGGGCGUAAAGAGCUCGUAGGCGGUUUGUCACGUCGUCUGUGAAAUCCUCCAGCUUAACUGGGGGCGUGCAGGCGAUACGGGCAGACUUGAGUACUACAGGGGAGACUGGAAUUCCUGGUGUAGCGGUGAAAUGCGCAGAUAUCAGGAGGAACACCGGUGGC
rnacentral:rRNA from 2 species